GCCCCCCUGGCCCCGAACCCUUGCUCGGGGGCCCGCAGUGCCCCCCGCUCCGGAGACGUUUAGGGCAGCGCUGCCGCCAGCCUGACCGGACGCGGCCCUCCGAGUCAAACGCUGGCUCCCUGAAAAUACCGUCGAAACAGCCUGUAGCUAAGACAAAACUGAGUCCGAUGCUUCCUUCUCUUGUUCGGGGAGAGCACUGUCUGAAAGGGUAGUUAGUCGAGAGGAGGUAGAGGGGCAGAGUUGGGGUGUUGAGGUUUGGGGCCAGGCUGAAGGGGGGCUUUUUGAUGCAAGAUUUUUUAAAUUAGGGUUGGGUAAGGAUCGGGUCACAUAGUUCAGGAUGUGUGGUCCCGGUGACGUGAGGAUUUCAUGAGCCUUGGAGCUUCAACUGUUGCUUAAUGCUACCUGUCAAAAGUUGGGACGGUUUUCAAUGGAUUUUUGUGAAGUCGGAGAGUAAGGUUAUUGACACCUUUUGUUUUCCUGGGCAGGUGUUUCCUGACAUCAUACAAUAACACAGUCAGGUUGUUUUGCCUCAGCCAGUAUGAGUCACAGCCUUCUGUUGUUUGCACCCACAGAAACCCUGUAUGUGGUUUGGUUGUGUGUAAAAUGGGGAUCAUAUUGCAGGGGGAUGGGGAGGAGCUGGGCACGCCCUGAGAAAACCAGGGUCUCAGCCUCUGGUAGCCCAGCAGGGCUUAUAAAAACGUCUGAGUCCUGAAAAACAACCCUUAUCUCAAAAAGGAAAAGGGAGCUCCAAAUUGAAAUGAAUAGGUGGUUAUUUAUAUGUAUAUCAAUAAACAAUAGACUAGAUUUAUUAUUAAUUCCUUAUUACUGUCCACCAGCCAACUGCUACUCAAAGCACAUAGUUAGGGGUGGUUGCAUUUACCCUGUAGAGAGAUGUGCACGUUCAUGUGAUUUGUGCCGUGUGGUCAGGGGUUCAAAGCUAAGAAUGCUCCAGGCUUCUCAAGAUGUUAAAACAUCCCUGGGGCAUUUGGCUCCUGGUCUUGGUACGUCCCUGCUCCGGUCUGUGAGCUCAUUUCCUCAUCUGUACAGUGGGGAAGACUGUGCUUUGGGCAGAAUAAGGAGGAAGUGAGGCCAUAUGUUAGCCAGCAGUUGUUGGAACUGAAGUCCACAGGAUUCUAGAGCAGCGUUCGCCCUCACCGGCAUGGGCUGCCCUGCACUUUGUGGGUCUAGAACAGACGGAGGGCACAUAGUAAGCAAGCUGGGAAGGAAUGGGAGUGUUAACCAGUUUGGAAGAAAGCAGGAGAAUGGAGGUGAUACUAACCAUUCUCCCAGCUCAACCUGGUUCCAUCCAUUUCCUGCACUGCUCCCCACCCCACCCACCAGGACAGGUGCAGGGACAACAUUAAACAUAUUUAACAACCAGUUUGAAACCAUGAAAACAGGCUUGUGGGAGAGGCUUGGAGCCCCCCACCCCCGUCUCAACAGGUAUUAAUGUUUUUAAUUGCUAGAGUUGGUGGGGGUGGGGGGGCUAUGGGAGCCGGGUAUUUAGGGAAGUCCCUGUUUAACCUGUAGUUGACAUUCAGUUCGGGCCCUGUCAGGGCCUCCCAGCUAAAAAUGUGCCUGCGUAGGGAAGUGGGGGUCCCAGGUGUGGGGCAGGCGGAGGUGGGGGCCUGGGUAGGGGGCAGAUCCUGAUCAGGUGAGCCUUCUGUGGUCACCAGAGCAGUGGGGUCUCCUGGUGAGUGCUGGGCUCUACCAGGGAAGCUUCAGCCUCCUGGGGCUCCUGGGCGUUUGAGGGGCGCCCUCGCNNNNNNNNNNNNNNNNNNNNNNNNNNNNNNNNNNNNNNNNNNNNNNNNNNNNNNNNNNNNNNNNNNNNNNUGGGAGCCGGGUAUUUAGGGAAGUCCCUGUUUAACCUGUAGUUGACAUUCAGUUCGGGCCCUGUCAGGGCCUCCCAGCUAAAAAUGUGCCUGCGUAGGGAAGUGGGGGUCCCAGGUGUGGGGCAGGCGGAGGUGGGGGCCUGGGUAGGGGGCAGAUCCUGAUCAGGUGAGCCUUCUGUGGUCACCAGAGCAGUGGGGUCUCCUGGUGAGUGCUGGGCUCUACCAGGGAAGCUUCAGCCUCCUGGGGCUCCUGGGCGUUUGAGGGGCGCCCUCGCUGAACUUUGCUAGGUUUGCAUGUCCGCCCAUCUUAGACUUGGGGAACUCUUUCCCCUUUCCUGUUCCUAGGUGACACAUUUCCUGUCCUCUCUCCACACCGGUGCUCCGUCUUUCACAACACCUUGCUGGUGAACUCAGGUUUGACACCCAUCCUUAGCAGCUGGAGGAUUAGUUCUGCCCUUAAGGGCAAGAAAGACUGGGCCUUCCAACCCUGCCGAUUCGAGGGAAAAUAUUUGUGUUCUAUUUCUUCAUGGUAAAGAACAGAAAAAAAAAAUCACUACACAGCUCUAGAAAAGUCUUUAGAAAAGAGAGUAGUUCGACAGUACAUGUCAGAUAAGUUUAUAAGCUAGUGAUUUUCCUACUAAGAAUGUAACUUGAGUGAGAAGGAAAGCUGGUGAGAGCAGAUAAAAAAGGGCCAGCCAGAUGUCCAAGGCCAGAUAGUCCCCUUGCUUGCUUUUGGCUUCUGUAAUCUUGCUUGCCCCCACAUCAGUCAGCAGCCAGGAACCGGAAGACUGAUUGUACUAGUCCCACCCAACCCAGAAACGCUUAGGUAUAAAGGAUCAGUAAAAUCCGAGCCGGGUGCUCAGCUUUUGGAGGUGACUCCGCUGGGACGGCACCGGUGCGAAAUAGUCUUUUUUAAUUCCCUGAGUGUGUGUCGCUUGUCUUUUCCUCGACUAUUUGCUGUAAUAUUUUUGGUGCAUUGGCCAGGAAGCCGACAGCCGUGCUGGCCCCUUGAGUCACCACUGUGGGAGGCCACGGAAAGCCCACUCAUCGCGGGGCCCUGUGAUAAAGGAAGGUACGCCACCACCUUGACCGCGACCCUCACCAGGCCCGACAGUAGUCAGCCGCCGCUGUUUUCAGACGGACUCCAGGGGAGUCAGAAAAUUCUGCCAGGACGGGACAUCGGAUCGGGUGAGUGUCCCCGAGGACCCAGCACCGAGUUCAGGCCCGCCCUAGGACAGGGAAGUCCCAGGUGGAAGUCUGUAAUCUGUCUGAAUGUGUGUGUGAGUGCUACACGGUCUCGGCCAAGGAGCCUGAGUGGGUCCUACCCUGUGAUUCCUUGACAGCCUCAUACGGCUCAAGGCAGAAUCAGGUCCGCCGAGGCCUGAUCUGAGUCGGGUUUAUACUGACCUGCCAAUGUUAAGAGGCAUCUGAGUACCUUCGAGGAGAGCGGCCAGGUGGACGAAGCGACCCCUUCCCUCGUGUUUGUCCUGCGACACCGCACAUUGGGAAGGACCCAUCUGGGAUACCAGGAUGGGGGGGGGGGGUUCCUCAAAACCAACUGUUUUGGAAUGUGUGAUAAGAAUUUUAAAAAGGGAUUUUCAGGUGACUGUGGGGCCAGAUUGACCCCCGGGAAAUUACGAACCCUCUCUGAAUUAGAAUGGCCUGCGUUUGGUGUAGGCUGGCCCCCUGAGGGCACCCUAGAUGUCCCCCCAGGCUGAGCUGUUUAUAAAGUAGUUACUUGAGACCCCGGCCACCUGGAUCAAUUCCCAUACAUCGAUCAGUGGCUGGAAAUAGCCCAAGUCAAGCCUCCUUGGGUUCAGUAAAGGACAGUGUAGGGUCUUAGUGGCACGGGCUGAGAAGACCUCACAACAGAAAAAAACGCCCCCGUCCUCGAAGAAAAUUUAGACAUCCUUCCUUUUCUGCCACCCUAUGCCCCCAGAGUCCCAUCAGUCGAGGGAGGGGAACCUCGCCUGGCUGACAGUCCACUCCCAUCGGUCUCACCCCCGCCAGCAGUCAGCCCGCCCCCACCAGGGAUACCUGAACCAGUAGGAAGGUGCCGUAGGUCCACGGCUCAGGGUCCAAGGCCCCGAUGGCAAUGCAGAUGCCAUUGCAGGAGACGGGUCCGCAGAGAAUAGGCCCCGAUGGGACCCUUUCUACUACCAACGGUUCUCCACUACUGACCUCCUCACCGGGAAACACCACACUCGCCCAACUCUGAGAGGCCGCAGGCGAUGAUCUUCUAGAGUCCAUAUUCCAGACUCAACGCCCUGCCUGGGUCAACUGUAAGCAGCUUCUGCGUCCCCUUUUCAACACAGGAGAGCGCCAGCGAAUUGUCACCGAAGCCAGAAGAUGGCUCCCGAGUCAAGCACCAGAUGGACAACUAGACGUUGAGGCUUAGGCACGGGAGGCUGUGCCCAAAGAGGAACACAGAAGUGGGAAGGGCCAGACUAGAAAGAUACCGACUGGCCUUCCUCCAAGGGGUAAAAGCAGGGACCAGACAGCCUGCCAACGUGGCAAAAGUAUCUGAGGUGUGUCAAAAGCCAGAAGAGAGUCCGGCUGACUUCUGUGAAAAUUACGUGAAGCCUUCAGAGUUUACACUCCAUCGACCCAGAAGCCCUCAAAAACCAGCACAUGGUCACUGCUGCCUUUGUGGGAUAGCCCCAUAGUGACAUUAGACAGAGGCUCCAAAAAUUGGAAGGAUUUGGUGGAAAGAACGCCACCGAACUAUUGGAAAUCGCCAACAAGGUUUUUGUAAAUUGGGGCCAAGCUGCCAGAAAGGAGGCGGACAGCAGAGUGAAACGGAAGGCAGCUCUCCUGGCCGCGGCCUCGGGGCGACCACCCCCUGUGGAAGGGCACGGAAACCACAAGGGGCUCGAGAACAAAAAAGAAGGGCGCCGCUGGGAUGGGGUCAACGUGUCCGCUGCAAGGAAUGCGGACCCUGGAAAAAUGAAUGGCCCAGCCGCCAAAAAGGGAAACCAAAAGCUUCUACUCCACCGAGAUGCUACCAACCAGAACCACCCGAGGCCGACCUGAUCGGUGUCCAGCUGGGCCCCCAUGAGCCCAUGGUCAAAAUGAAGGCGGGGGGCCAGACAAUAGACUUCAUGGUCGACACGGGGGCCGAACACUCUGCGGUGACACACAGGGUGGCACCUCUGUCGGGUCGAGAAGUCACCAUCGUAGGAGCCACUGGGAUGCAAACCUGAAGGCCAUUUUGCCGUCCCUGACAGUGACCUGGGAGGUCACCAAGUAGUUCACGAAUUCCUGUAUCUACCUGACUGCGCACUGUCACUGUUAGGUAGAGACCCCCUAGCCAAGAUGGGCGCUCAAAUAGCCUUCACCUUGGAUGCACGGACACAACAGCACCUAAAUGAAAAGGCCCAACCCAUGGUUUUGUCCCUGACGAUUCCACGGGAAGAGGAAUGGAGAUUAUAUACUUCCCCUCUCGGUGAGCCAACUGUGGCCCCCGAGCUAGAAGCUGAAUUCCCUUCAGUUUGGGCAGAAGGGACCCCCCUCUCAUCUGCAAAAAGCCCCCCCCCCCCCAAUAUUAAUUGACCUAAAGCCUGGGGCCCAGCCUGUCAAAAUAUGCCCAUACGUGAUCUCAUGGGAGGCUCACCCGGGGAUCCAGACGCUCUUGGACAGGCUCUGGUAAAACGAUGCCAGUCCCCGUGGAAUACCCCCUGCUGCCCGUGAAGAAGCCGGGGACAGAUGAUCACCGCCCCGUGCAGGACCUAAGAGCCGUAAAUGGAGCAGUCGUCAGGCUGCAUUCAGCAUUGCCCAACCCGUACGCUCUGCUAGGACUCAUACCCUCUGAGGCAGGGUGUUUCACGUGUCUAGAUUUAAAGGACACCUUCUUCUGUCCCCAGCUAGCGCCUAAUAGCCACCCCCUGUUUGCCUUUGGAUGGGAAAACCCUACCACAGGAGCAAACGAACAAUUCACUUGGACUAGACUGCCGCAAGGAUUAAAAAAUCCACCAGCCUUAUUCAGUGGGGCACCGGCAUCUGACUUAGCCAGGUUCCUGGGACGGGACCUAGGAUGUGUCCUCCUCCGGUACGUGGACAAUCUCCUGCCAGCCAGUCCCAGGCGGACCCAGUGCUGAGAGGGAACCAGGGCCCCACUCAGGCCGCUGGCAGAGGUGGGAUACCGGGUGUCAAAGAAAAAGGCACAGAUUUGCCCGUAGGCAGUUAAAUAUUUGGGCUUCAGAAUUACUCAAGGCAAACGGAUGCUGCGAGCCGAAAGGAAACAGGCAGUCUGUGCCAUCCGGUUCCCACUCCUCACUAGCAGGUCCAAGAGUUCCUGGGAGCAGCAGGAUUCUGUCGGAUAUGGAUCCCAGGGUUCUCGGAGUUGGCCAGACCUCUCUAUGAGGCACCAAAGGGGGAAGAAAGGGCACCCCUUUUCUGGGGCCCUCAUGAAGAAAAGGUAUUUUAAAACCAUAAAAACAAAACUCGCAGAGGCCCCGGCCCUGGGACCUCCAGAUGUAUCACGAGAUUUCAGUCUGUUCGUACGUGAAAGCAGUGGGGUGGCCCUGGGGGUUCUCACCCAGGACUUUGGAGCUUGACAAAGACCAGUGGCAUAUCUUUCAAAGCAGAUUAACUCAGCUGUGGGAGGACGGCCACCCUGUCUGAGGGCCCUGGCAGCCACCGCACUUGUGAUCAAGGAAGCAGGCACACUCAUGUUGGGGCAAGACCUAAGCUCUGAGGUUUCCCGUGCUGUUAUUACCGUGAUAGAUGCCGGAGGGCAACGCUGGCUGACACGUGCUCGGAUGACAGUGUCGGGGAGCGCUGUGUGGUCCCACGAAUCAGAUCGGAAGCCGUAGAAACUAAACCCUGCCACUUUCUUGCCUGCAGCGGCAGGGCCCCCAGAGCAUGAUUGUCUAGGGGUCCUUGAUGGAGUCUUUUCCAGCCGAUCCGACCUAUCAGACAGACCCUUACAAAAUCCUAAUCUCACCCUGUACACCGACGGCAGCAGCUUCGUGAACGCCGGUUACACAGGAGUCUCUGAUUUCGAGGUCACAGAAGCAGAGGCCCUUCCACAAGGACGACCAGCUCAAAGAGCAGAACCGUGGGCCCUAAUGAGAGCACUAGAACUCAGGAAGGACAGACAGGCCAACAGACACGCUGACUUGCGCCAUGCCCUUGCCACUCUACCUGCACGUGGGGCCCUACACAAGGAGAAUGGACUUUUGACCACAGGAGGGAAAGAAAGAAAAAAUUGGGAAGAAAUCCUAAAACUACUGAGGGCAGUCUGGGAACCGAGGAAGGUAGCAGUCAUCCACUGCAGGGGACACCAAAGGGGAAAGGACUCUGUGUCGGAAGGUAACUGACGGGCGGACGCCGCAGCUAAACAAGCAGCGGGAGAAUGAACGGCACCCUCGAAAAUCACGCUGGCCCCGGAGCUGCCGGCUUCCCCAAGGUACACGAUCCAAGAGACAAAAUGGGCACAGCAGGAAACAGGAGGCCAGACGGAAGGGUGGUGGGUACUUGCGGACCAAAGAGUCUGUGUACUGGAGCCGCUAGCCCGCCAGGUGGUUCCCAGCAGCCUGAGCUCCCCCACCCGGGAAGAACCGCCCUUGAAACCUUAUCGGGCUGUUACUAUGUAAUCGCUUGGCUCCCGUCCUUCUGUGCCUCGGUCUCUCAACGCUGCCUCCUCUGUGCUCAAAAUAACACCAGACAGGGCCCCACUGGACCCGUGGGAAUCCAUUGCUGCGGUCAGGCACCCUUCAAAGAUUUGGAGGUAGGCUUUACCGAAAUGAGAACCGGCGGAGGAUACGAAUUUCUUCUAUUCAUCUGCACGUUUCCGGGCUGGGCGGAGGCCUACCCCACACGCACCGAAAAGGCAAGAGUAGUAACCAAGGCCUUGCUAAGGGAUAUCAUCCCCAGACGUGGAAUGCCGUGAACCAUGGGCUCAGACAGGGGCCCGGCUUUUGUGGCCGAGGUGAUGCCUAAAGUAUCCCUGGGCAUCCGAUAGAAUUUACACGCAGCCUACCAGCCCGAGUUCAGAGAAAGUGGAACGUAUGGAACCGGACCCUUAAAUCAGCCAUGGCAAAACUGCGUCAGGAAACUAAUUUGCCAGACAUACGACCUCUGUCUAGCUCUUCUCCAAAUACGCUGUACACCCCGGGCAAAAAUCGGAUCCUCCCCAUUCGAUACCCUCUCUGGAAGAUCCCCUCCACUAGUCAAAUUCAAGGGGGACCUGACAGAACUAGGGAAACAAGAAUUAGGGAAAACUAUUUGGGAUACACACAUGGUGACGGACAGGAUACCUAUUUCCCGUGGGAUAGCUGUACAUCCCACAAACCUGGGGAUCCGGUUUGGAGUAAAGAUAAGAAAAGGAAACCACUCAAACCUACCUGGAAGGAACCCUAUUUCGUUGUGCUAACCACGCCCACGGCCCUCAAGCUCGCAGGACUAACCGCCUGGAUCCACCAUUCUCGAGUAAAGGCGGCCCGCCCGUCGCCUGACAACCACUUGGAAUGGAAAGGAACUGCGCGAGCCAGAACAGUCCUCUACAGACCACCCUUAAGAGCACAGCGCCGAUAAGCGGCCUGCAGCCGACCCCUGAGGGCUCUGGGUAAGCAGAAGCUUGAGGAAAUCACCAAGCGACCUCAGUGACCUCCAGCACCUCGUUCUCGAAUUUCCCUGUCAUCCCCUGCCCGUUUCUUUUGCCAUGCUUGUCGCCAUGCUGUCUGCUUAGGGCUGACCCAAGUUACUCCACAGACGGGCGCCUCAGUCACUGACUCCUGUUAGCCUCCCUCUGCUCACUAGUGUCAGGAUGCCUCGUUCUCCUUAGGUGUGCACGAUCUGAGUUGUGAUAGAUGUCCUCUGCACGUUGUUCUCUGCCUUUAGAACCGUCUCACAGCCCCGGAAGGGCUGGCCCUGUCUCCCGUCCCCGUGGCGCAUAUCCCUGUUCCUAACCUGCUCAGAAAGAGUCUGCUCUCUCCCGUCAUGCAGAUGUGUGACCUGUCACUCCCCGCCUGUCCCCCAAGGCCCGAAGAGCCACUCUGUGCUCCCCACCCCUGGACCCCAUCUGUCGUCAUGAGGGCCAGACUUCUGUAACAGACGCAUGGGGUUGCACUGCCUGCUACCCCACUCGGCCUCCUACAGAGGCCACUCCUUUCCCUGUGCCCUUCCCGACUCCUGCUCCAACCCUCCGGUUCUCAGAGGUCAGACGACACUACCACGUGUCCCUGUGCCACCGUGUACCCCCACGUGCCGGACAGAUGUUAUACCAGGAGGGUCACUCCCUGUACCAGAAGCAGGAAAACUUACUGGACGGGAAAAAUGAAAAUGAGACGUUACUGGGGGCUGCCUGAUCCGACCUGCCCUGAUGCUCCCCUUGCCUGUUGGGUCAUCCUCCGUGGGAACAUAAAUCAGGUAGACCACUUGUCUUAGAUCCCCGACUGGACCAGAUGUUAAACGCAGCUCAUCGCCUCCUCAGUGCUACCAAUCCUGCCGGCUCUGCUUGUCCGCGGGACCCACCCGUUAGGCAGCUAGUCCGAUAACACAGGCCCCUGUAAAUGUUACCCUGCUACCAAAAGACCCAGAGCCCUGCACGGUGAGACCUAUACCAACUGGAGUCGAACUGCCCCCAGUGGCUCCCAGUUGCCUGACAGACAAGAGGGGAACAGAGCCAUUUGGCAUUCUGACCGCUGGCCAGUGCAACCAAAGUCUUGACAGUCAGGAGCUCAGUCAUCUUCCUACGAGCCAAGCCUGGUGUCGACCCCUCCCAGGGCUUCUCUUUAUCUGUGGGACGGACGCCUCCCUAUGUCUGCCAGCUGACUGGACGGGCACUGUACCCUGGCCUUCCUCCUCGUAAGAUAAACGUUGUUCCCAACAAUCAGUCUCUUAGAGUACCCGUGGCAGCACAUACUCGCUCAAAAAGAGCCACCCAAGUCAUCCCCCUGCUGAUUGCCUUAGGGAUGCGGCAGGGGUGGGCACUGGAGUAGGAGGAACCGCGUCCUCACCCACUUACUGCCAUGAAUUGUCCAGGGACCUAACAGACGGCACAGAACGGGUUAUCAAACCUCUGGUGGUGUUACAAGCCCAAGUAGACUCCCUAGCAGCGGUAGUCUUACGGAACAGAAGAGGGCUGGGCCUCCCACUGCUGAAAGGGGAGGACUGUGUCUCUUCCUGAACAAAGACUGCUGCUUCUGUGUCAGCCAGUCAGGGACAGUCGGAGGUAUGGUCCACAGGUUAAGGGAGCGAAUCACCAAACGAGGCAGGAACAGUUCCUCCUGGAACUGUUGGAGGAACAUGUAGAAUUGGGCGUCCUGGCUCCUCCCUUAGCUGGUCCUCUCCUGGUGCUUGUCACAGCCCUCCUGUUUGGUCCUUGUGUUCUUACUACGCUAACCAGGUUUGUUUCCUCCCGCCUGGAAGCUGUAACACUCCAGAUGGACCGUUCUAGCUGUCGCUACUCUCCUUUGGAUGGCGAAGAACCCUGGCUGUCACUUUCCUCCCCUCGACAUCCGUGUCCAGGGGGAAGAAGCCAGAACGGCCUUUGCCCCUCCCCCCGUGGCAGCAAAGGGCCCCCUGGCCCCCACGAACUGAUUUUCUCUAAGCCUGCUACAGCAGCUUGAGAAUCAAGAGCGGGGAAUGAGAAGGAAAAUUGGUGGGAGCAGAUAAAAAAGGGCCAGCCAGGUGUCCGAGGCCGGAUUCUCCCCCUGUAGGCUUGCGGCUUCUGUAAUCUUGCCCCUUACGGCAGCCAGCAGCCAGGAACCAGAAGCUUGACUGUCCUAGUCCCGCCCAACCCGGAAGCACAUAUGUAUAAAGGGUCAGUAAAACCCGAGUCCGGGUGCUCAGCCUUUGGAGGUGACUCCGCUGGGCCAGCACCGGUGCGAAAUAAACAGUCUUUUCUGUCCCCGAGUGUGUAUCGCUGGUCUCUUCCUGGGCGCCGAGUUCUUGCUGUAACAUGAGGAACUGAUGAGAGAUGUUUCUUAAGGAUUUGUGAACAGGUGGUUGACGGAAGCAUCAUAUGCAACAGUAAAAAGAAUGAAUAUCCAGUAUCAGAGGACGGGCCUUGGGUCACUUACACAAUGGAAUGUUAUAUCGUAUUAGUAAUCAUAUUAUGGAUGAAUAGUUUACGGACAUGGGCGAUACCAAAAUGUGUUACAUUUAAUAAGCGGAUUGGGGCACCUGGGUGGCUCUGUUGGUUGAGCAUCCGACUUCAUUUUGGCUCAGAUCGUGAUCCCAGGGUCGGGAGAUCGAGCCCCACAUCAGGGUCUGUGCUCAGUGUGGAGCCUGCUUGAGAUUCUCUCUCUCUCUCCCCCCUCCCCCCUCCCCCCUCCCCCUCUCCCUUCUCCCCUCCCCCUUCUCCCCUCCCCCUUCUCCCCUCUCCCCUCUCCCCUCUCCUGCCCCUACCCAGCUUGUACUCACUGGUUUGAGCACUCUCUCUCUAAAUAAAAUAAUAAAGGUAAAAAGCAGAUUAAAAUAAUGUAGUAGUAUGAUAGAAAUAAUACAGAAAGGGAAAAACAGAAUUUGUAGCCUGCUCUAUUAAGUACAAAUUUGUAAACUGUUUGAUUUCAUUAAUUCAUUCAACAAAAUACACUGACGAUGUAACAGUAACAGGUUAAAAAUGUAAUUUACAGUGCGCCUGACUGGCCUGAUGGAGGGUGCAACUCUUGAUCUCAGGGUUGUGGGUUUGAGACCCACAUUGGGUCUCUUUAUUUAUUCAUUUAUGUAUUUUGGUUUCAGGGGUAGAAUUCGGUGAUUCAUCCCAACGGGUGCCCUCCUGAAUCCCCGUCACCUGUUCAGCCCAUCCCCUACCCACCUCCCUCCUUCAACCCUCAGUUUGUUCUCUCUUUAAGAGUCUCUUAUGGUUUGUUUCCCUCUCUUUUUUCUUGUUCUUUCCCCCAGCCACGUGUUCAUCUGUUUUGUUUGUUAAAUUUCACAUACGAGUGAAAAUAUACGGUAUUUGUCUUUCUCUGACUUACUUGCUUAGCGUAAUACACUGUAGUCCCAUCCACGUCAUUGGGAAUGGCAGGGUUUCAUUUUUUUUUUUUUGUCAAAAUAGUAUUUAUUUAUUUGUAAAUGUUUAUUUUGAGAGAGAGGGAGAGGGAGUGCGAGGGCCUGAACAGGGAAGGGCAGAGAGAGAAUCCCACACCGUCAGCACAGAGCUCCACGCAGGGCUUGGUCCCAUGACCCUCAGAUCGUGACCUGAGCUGAAGUCAAGAGUUGGAUGCUCAACCACCUGAGCCACCCAGGUGCCUCAAGGUGUCAUUCUUUGGGAUGGCUGAGUAAUAUUCCAUCGUGUAUAUAUCACAUCUUUAUCCGUUUAUCAGUCGAUGGACAUUUGGGCUCUUUUCAUAGCUCGGCUGCUGUCGAACAGCCUCGCUCUCCAUUGGCAAAUUUAAAACGAGAGCGGGAAUGAGGGCGCGGGAAGAGAGAAGUAGGGUCAUUCAAGUGGUUGUCUAGCUCACCCAGAGCUUCAGACAAGGGGAGCGGCCCGGCCCCUUGUCUAGUUGUUAACUAGUAGGUUUGUGUUGCGGCUGCUGGCGGUAUGUUUGUUCCAGACGGAUGUCUUUGAAAUGGACGCUUCUGCGACCCAAAGCUUCGUGUCAGGGACUCGUGUUACAAAUACACACGCUGGCCUCUGCCCCCAGUGCCUGACCCUGGGCUCCUUAAUCCCUUGGAAUUUCCUGGGUGGCCGGAGUGUCUUCUAGUUUGAGGAGGCGGCUCUUGGUGGGCUCCGGAUAGCUCCCGGGCGAAGGCUGGUCACUAGAAAGACCAAACCAAGAUUAGAAGCUUGCAACCUCCAGCGCCGUCCUCCAGGGGGCGCAGAGGGGCUGGAGAUGGAGUUGAGCACCAGUCACGCCCACGUGAUGGGUCUCCAUGAACAUCCCUAAGGCGUGGGGAUCCGAGGCCUUCCAGGUUGGUGAACACAUCCACGUGCCGGGAGAGUGGCGCGCCCCCACGCCACGACACGGUGGCUCCCGCGUUCGGGAUCCUUCCUGGCUUUGCCCCGUGCCCCCCUCAUCUGGCUGUUCCCUGGAUCCUUUAUUACAUAAUAAACUGGUAAACAUAAGUGUUCCCUUGAGUUUUGUGAGCGAUCCUAGCAAAUUCUUGAACCCGAGGAGGGGAUCCCGGGAGUCCUGGAUUUGUAGCCAGGUCGGGCAGAAGUGUGGGUGAUGAGGACCCACCGCCUGGGAUUGGCGUCUCUGAAGUGGGGGGAUCUCAUGGGGCCGAGCCCUGGCCCUCUGGGGUCUGUGCUAACUCCAGUUGGCGUCUGCAUUGAGUGAAAUUGGAGGACACCCAGCUGGUGUCCACAGAAAAGGAGAAUCGCGUGAUGAACAAAAUCCUACAUAGCCGGGACCAGACAGCACUUUGCGUCUACAGACAGCUGGUUUUUCCUCUCCAGUUGGAUGUGGGCGGGAGGCACGGGGCGAGUCAGGGACGGUCCGAGCCAUGCGGCUGGAGCGCCCAGGGGGAUGGUGCUGUUCUCUAAGAUGGGGACCCCGGGGGUCGGGGUUCCAGGGAAUCUCAAGGUCCCCUACUUGUCCUCAGCACCCAGACUUGGGCUGUGGCAGGCUGCCUCGUGUCUCACCAGGCGUGCUGGGCCUCCCUUCACCCCAGCCCCCAACCCGGAUGGGUGUCCCCAUCCCAGCCACCGACCUAGGCCCUAGAGCUGUGUGUCCUCCUGGCUGGAGAAACCACACUGACUUACCCAGAAGCCAUCAGUCAGCCGUAACCAGCAGCCAUGCACUGCCCCGGGGGGUGAGGGGGAGGAGGAACGUAGUCGGAGGUGGCUCUCCACCCCGCGGGGGAGGCCGGGGCUGGUUUUCCGUGCUUCCUCUCCGCAGGCAUGACGUGGCUACGCGGGUCACCUGGGGGGCUAGUCACGGCUUGGUAGGAAACCCCCAAAGGAAGGGCUAGGAGCACCUGUUAGUCCCAGCUCUGUUACUGGAUCUUGUGCAGCAUUCACUUCCUUUCCGUGAGUCCUUGGCCAUGACUUCUGACCUCGAGACUGAGGUCCUGCCCUCUCUUCUUGGGCCAUGAGUCACUCCUACAUCACCACGAGUACUGGAAGCUGCCCAGCCUGGCGAUGGGCACCCAGCGAGUCAGCUCAGCCAGCUUGCCCGUUGCCCUCUGUCCUCCUUCCCAGCAGGCUCCUCUGGGCCCGGCCCUCCCCAGCCCAGAGCUCCCCUCUGCUUCCUGGUGGCGGAGAAGUGCCCAGCCCUUCUCGGCUGGUCUCUGUCUCGGUGUCGUGGUCAGAACAGGUUCCAGUGGGUCCCAGGUGGGAGGGGGAGGGAUGCCGGAGUGCUGGGGAGUCCGGCUCUAUUAUGAGCUGGUAAGGUGGUGGAUGACGCUCAGGGACAUGCAGGGCAGAACUUCACAGUGGGCCGUCCGGGAGCGGGGGAAGGCCUGUUUUGUGGCCUUUGGUGGUAUGUCCAUUGUCCCGUCGUGCACGGCUGGUCUCAGGACACUGCUGUGAUGUGAGCUCUUGCCAACUUCCCACCAGCUUCACCAUCAGCUCCUGCUAGCUAGUCGGAGCCCUUGUUAACACAUCCCCGUGGUAAACGUUCAAUUGAUUUUUUUAAAUAGGCUCCGUGUUCAACGUGAGACUUGAACUCGGGACCCUGAGAUCAAGAGUCGCACGCUCUACAGACUGAGCCAGCCAGGCGUCCCAAACAUGCUAUUUUAAAGGUAAGCAGGCAAAGCAGAGGGGGCUCCAAGUUUACCUGUGACCAACUCUUACCCGCUAGGCCAAGGUCUUGUGCAUGGAGAAGGGGGGCAGUAGAGGGGUUUUCCACCAACCAGAGAAGCCGUGUGUAGCCUGGGAAGUUGGGAGUGGAGGUGAGGGGUUCUGGCCCCCAGGGUGGGCCGUCCAGUGACGUUUCUGCAGGAAGACUGACCACCUUCCUCCCCGGAGAGUCCCAGCCCAGGCCGACAGGUUAUUUUUCCAUGAGAACCAUAGGAGUCAAUAGGGGAAAACGGGAUCAGCUCUAAGAAAUCCAGCGUACGGCCAGCUUUUCUGAAGGAGGGAUAGGUUGUGGAUAAAUCCGGACUGAGGAGGCUGUGAGGAAAAUGUGGGGCCCGGGGUGUGGGAGCUGGGCUCGGGUGAGGUGGGGCUCCGAGUGGGACCUGGGACCUGGGACCUGGGACCUGAGACGGGGUUGGAGCCACUUUGGACCCAAGUCUCCAAGAGGCAGGGAGCCCUGUGUGAGAGCCAGGAGAGUUCGGGAGUGUGAUUAGACCAGGGGAAGGGCAUCCCCAGUGAUGACGCCGCGGUCAGUGAGCAGUGUCCUCGAGUGUCCCCAGGGCCUCGUUAGUGCCCAGGAGACCUCGCCCGCAGACCAGCACAGCCCGAUGCUGUUCACGGGGCCCUGGGCGCCUCGCGACCACCAGCCCUUCAACCCGAGCAGCCCUUGCUCCCUCGGUCGGUGGUGGCAGGCAGGGCGGGGCCGACCAGUGCUCCUCACAGAUGGAUAAACUGAGGCCGGGCUUGGAGGAAGGAGCCCGUGUUCGGCCGGCCCCUUGGGGCGCUCCGCUGGCUCGCGUGAGGGCGGCUNNNNNNNNNNNNNNNNNNNNNNNNNNNNNNNNNNNNNNNNNNNNNNNNNNNNNNNNNNNNNNNNNNNNNNNNNNNNNNNNNNNNNNNNNNNNNNNNNNNNNNNNNNNNNNNNNNNNNNNNNNNNNNNNNNNNNNNNNNNNNNNNNNNNNNNNNNNNNNNNNNNNNNNNNNNNNNNNNNNNNNNNNNNNNNNNNNNNNNNNNNNNNNNNNNNNNNNNNNNNNNNNNNNNNNNNNNNNNNNNNNNNNNNNNNNNNNNNNNNNNNNNNNNNNNNNNNNNNNNNNNNNNNNNNNNNNNNNNNNNNNNNNNNNNNNNNNNNNNNNNNNNNNNNNNNNNNNNNCGCCCGCAUGGGUCCGAGGCGUUGACCACCUGCUUCAGCUACACAACUUUCCAUCUUCCCCGAGGACUCUGCCCCCGCCCCCACCCCCACUUCCUGUCUCUGGGCUUGCCCUUGAGGGACCUCGUGGAAGUGGAACCCUGCAGUAUUUAUCCCUUUGCGCCUGGCCCUUCACCGAGCGUGACGUCCGCCAGCUCAGCCGCGCCGUAGCCGGUGUGGUAGCAGGUGUGCGGCAGUCCGUCCUUUCUGUGGCUGAAUGACGUGUCUCACUGGGUGGAGGGACCACGGCUCGCUUAUCCGUUCGCCCACUGAUGGACAUUUGGCCGUUUCCUCUCUGGGGCUCCCGUGCCUAGUGCUGCCGUGAACGUGCGUGCCGGUCCUGCUUGGGCGGGCACCCGGGGGCAGGCCAGGUGCCACCCAGCACCCGCCGUGAGAGCUGUCAGCCCCCUCCCCACACCCCCCAGGGCCCCUGGUGGUCCGGCGGCCUCUGCUCCUGUGCCCAUGAGCUGGUUGAUCCCUGGCCCCGGGACGGCCUCCCCACUUCUGUCUCCGUUUCGUCCCCUGCACAGGGAGGCCCACUGGGUGGGGUCGGGCCCCCUCGGUCCCCGUGCCUGUCCUCUGCCCCAGCUCGGAUCUGCUGUCCCACCCGGCAGACCCUUUGCUCGCACCUUCCCCGGGGCCGGAAUGACCUCUGACUACACCUGGAAGACUCAGCUGGAGAGAUCGCCAUCCUCCCUGCCCCCGUCCCCCUCCCGGUUUGGUUUCCCUGUGAUUCUGUCAUCCGUCAGACUAAACGACUGAUGGAUGGUGUUUCUCUCUCUCCUCCAGCGUCCCCAGCGUGCGGGCAGGGGCGGUCUCCGGUCUGCUCGCCGCUGUGUCUCCAGCACGCCCGGGUGUGAAAUGGCGUUGGUGUGCCACUUCUUCGGGCUGAGCCCCGCCAGCCCCAGCUGCCACUCGUGCUAUGCGUCCGCAGCCCUCUCCGUCCUGCACAGCUCGCUGCAAAUCAUCGGUGGCCCUGCGAUGGCGUGACAGGCACCGGGUGGCAGGGUGGGUGGCAGGGUGGGCACCUGGUGCCCAGGCGAGGACAUGCCCAGCCGGCACUGCUGGUGUGGCUUCAGCAUCCAGUAGGCGCUCCGUAAAUGUCUCCAAUGGAUGUCAAGUCACGCCGGGGCCCCCACUCUCUGGGAACUGGGGAGCCAGUCUCUGGGGCCCUUGCUGAGCCCUGGUGCCCGACAGCCUUCACUGCCUUCUCAGGUCUUCCUGUGGCUCCUACCGGGUCCUUCUCCUGGAGGCCCUCUACCUGGCCACCCUUUUUGGGGACGAGUGACAUCUCAGGACACGUGUCUGUCCCUCGGGUGACCUCGGCAGUGGCCCAGUUCUCAGGAAACGUCAUAAUAGGACACUGGGGAGGCUGCAUUCUGGGACAGCUGGUCCCUGGCACAAUCCUCCCGACACCUUGCCACGCUUGUUUAUUCAUUCAGCAAACACCCACUGAGACCCGGAGUGCACCAGGGCCAUCCUAGAUCCCCAGGGUGUGCUGGGCCACCUGACACUGCCCCUCCCCUCGGGGCGGGGGGGUCACAGCUCCCAGCAC
rnacentral:lncRNA from 1 species